rnacentral:rRNA from 1 species
AGUCGAGCGGCAGCGCGGGGGCAACCCUGGCGGCGAGCGGCGGACGGGUGAGUAAUGCAUCGGAACGUAUCCCAUAGUGGGGGACAACCCAGCGAAAGCUGGGCUAAUACCGCAUAUGCUCUGAGGAGGAAAGUGGGGGACUUCGCAAGGGGCCUCACGCUGGGGGAGCGGCCGAUGUCCGAUUAGCUAGUUGGUGGGGUAAUGGCUCACCAAGGCGACGAUCGGUAGCUGGUCUGAGAGGAUGAUCAGCCACACUGGGACUGAGACACGGCCCAGACUCCUACGGGAGGCAGCAGUGGGGAAUUUUGGACAAUGGGGGCAACCCUGAUCCAGCCAUGCCGCGUGCGGGAAGAAGGCCUUCGGGUUGUAAACCGCUUUUGGUCGGGACGAAAGGGCCUCUCUUAAUAGGGGGGGUUGUUGACGGUACCGGCAGAAUAAGCACCGGCUAACUACGUGCCAGCAGCCGCGGUAAUACGUAGGGUGCGAGCGUUAAUCGGAAUUACUGGGCGUAAAGCGUGCGCAGGCGGUGGGUUAAGUCUGCUGUGAAAGCCCCGGGCUCAACCUGGGAAUGGCAGUGGAAACUGGCUCGCUGGAGUGUGGCAGAGGGGGGUGGAAUUCCGCGUGUAGCAGUGA